rnacentral:rRNA from 1 species
UUGAGCGGAGAUAUAUGGAGCUUGCUUUAUAUAACUUAGCAGCGAACGGGUGAGUAACACGUAGAUAAUCUAUCCUAUACUGGGGGAUAGCCCGAUGAAAGUUGGAUUAAUACCGCAUAUAGCUAUAUAGUUGCAUGAUUAUGUAGUGAAAGAUUUAUUGGUAUAGGAGGAGUCUGCGGCACAUUAGCUAGUAGGUGAGGUAAAGGCUUACCUAGGCGACGAUGUGUAGCCGGUCUGAGAGGAUGAACGGCCACAAUGGAACUGAGACACGGUCCAUACUCCUACGGGAGGCAGCAGUGGGGAAUAUUGCACAAUGGGGGAAACCCUGAUGCAGCAACGCCGCGUGAGUGAAGAAGGUUUUCGGAUUGUAAAGCUCUGUUAGCAGGGAAGAGGAAGGACGGUACCUGCAGAGGAAGCCACGGCUAACUACGUGCCAGCAGCCGCGGUAAUACGUAGGUGGCAAGCGUUGUUCGGAAUAACUGGGCGUAAAGGAUGCGUAGGCGGUUAAACAAGUUAUAUGUUAAAUAUAUAGGCUUAACCUGUAGAAAGCAUAUAAAACUGUUUAACUAGAGUGCAGGAGAGGUAAGUGGAAUUCCUAGUGUAGCGGUGAAAUGCGUAGAGAUUAGGAAGAACACCAGUGGCGAAGGCGACUUACUGGACUGUAACUGACGCUGAGGCAUGAGAGCAUGGGGAGCAAACAGGAUUAGAUACCCCUGGUAGUCCAUGCUGUAAACGAUGGGUACUAGGUGUGGGUUGU